rnacentral:rRNA from 1 species
GACGAACGCUGGCGGCGUGCUUAAAACAUGCAAGUCGAACGGAAAGGCCCUGCUUUUGUGGGGUGCUCGAGUGGCGAACGGGUGAGUAACACGUGAGUAACCUGCCCUUGACUUUGGGAUAACUUCAGGAAACUGGGGCUAAUACCGGAUAGGAGCUCCUGCUGCAUGGUGGGGGUUGGAAAGUUUCGGCGGUUGGGGAUGGACUCGCGGCUUAUCAGCUUGUUGGUGGGGUAGUGGCUUACCAAGGCUUUGACGGGUAGCCGGCCUGAGAGGGUGACCGGCCACAUUGGGACUGAGAUACGGCCCAGACUCCUACGGGAGGCAGCAGUGGGGAAUAUUGCACAAUGGGCGGAAGCCUGAUGCAGCAACGCCGCGUGCGGGAUGACGGCCUUCGGGUUGUAAACCGCUUUCGCCUGUGACGAAGCGUGAGUGACGGUAAUGGGUAAAGAAGCACCGGCUAACUACGUG